UUGUUCAGCUACACCACUGCUGUUCCAGCGGCAACACACUGCAUGUAUGACGUAAUUACACUGUAGGUUGCCACCAAUUGUUGUCCGAAUGUCCCCAGUCCCAAUAUUAGUAUGUUUACUACACGCGGUCAUAAAGGAAGGACCACCAACUGAAUUCAAUUUACGCCCAACUAUUGUCGGAUUGUUAAGAUUAGAGACAGCAGAGCUAACAAGAAUAUCAGC